AUGACACUCAUUCAUUCAGUUGUGCAACCUCCCGCGUCCACCUCGAAAUUCUUGAUAAGAUCUAGCAGGUUACCAAGCGACGACCCGCCCUUCUGCACGGCCGCCCUCGCCUUCUCCGAGAGCGCCAGCGCCUUCCUCCUCCUCUCGCCCCCCUCUCCUCCUCCGUCCAUGAUGUUCCUGACCGCCGCCUCCACCACCUCUCUACCCACCACGACCCCCUUCUUCGCCGCCCACAGCAAUGGCUCCUUAAUACCGACGCUCACGCCUAUUCCCAGCACCUCCACGGCCAGCUUCUCGUUCAAGAACUGGUCCGAGAAGUGCGGCCAUGUCACCACUGGCAGCCCGGCCGUGAUCGCCUCCAAUGUCGAGUUCCACCCGCAGUGCGUCACGAAGCCACCCACCGCCACGUGGUUCAGGAUAAGCACCUGUGGCGACCACCCUCUGAUCAGCAUCCCGCGGCCGGCGACGCGCUCCUCGAGGUCCUGCAGGAACUCGCGCACGUCCUCGCUGUAUUGGUCGGGGUUCUUCAGAACCCAGACGAACGGGUGCCCCGACGCCUCGAGCCCGAGCCCGAGCUCGACGGUCUGCUUCGGGUCGGCGUGCACGAUGCUCCCGAAGCUGACGUACACGACGGUGCUGGGCUCCUUGCCCUGGAGCCAUCGGAGGCACUCGUCGGCGUCAAUGGCGGUGGUGGUGUUCCCUCUCUUUGCUAGCGUGGCGGCGUGCUGGUGGUACAGCGACACCGGCCCGAUGGUCCACAGCUUCAAGUUCCUGGCGGCCGCGUACCCAGCGACGUACUCCGGCUCCAUCUCCAGGAAGGAGUUCAUGACGACGCCAUCGGACUCAGCUAGCGCCAACUCGAUUUCAUCGGCUAGCUUCUCGAACCCGGGCGCCCGGAAGAACCCGGGGGCUUGCGCCCUGGUCACCUCGAUUCGCCUCUCCAGGCCCGGUACGACCACCGGCUCGUUGUCGUCGGCCACGGCGUCGUAG
rnacentral:rRNA from 1 species